rnacentral:rRNA from 1 species
UACGUAGGGGGCUAGCGUUGUCCGGAAUCAUUGGGCGUAAAGAGCGCGUAGGCUGCUCGGUAAGUCCGCUGUAAAAGUCAAAGGCUUAACCUUUGAAUGUCAGUGGAAACUGCCGGGCUAGAGUCCGGAAGAGGCGAGUGGAAUUCCUGGUGUAGCGGUGAAAUGCGCAGAUAUCAGGAGGAACACCGGUGGCGAAGGCGGGUCUCUGGGCCGAUAUUGACGCUGAGGAGCGAAAGCGUGGGGAGCGAACAGG